UUUUUUUUUUUGUAAGUCAAAAUUUCGUCGGAAAUUUCUAACGGAAAUAAACUCCGUCGGAAUUUUCCUACGGAUUUAAAAUCCGUAGGAAAUUAAUAUAUUCCGACGGAUUAAUUUUCCUUCGGAAUUUACAGCCUCCGACGGAAAAUUCCGUCGGAAGGAAUUUUUCGAGGGAAUAUUCCAUCGGAAGUAGUAAAUUCCGAGGGAAAAAAAUCCGUCGGAAUAUUUUCGAGGGAUUUUCCGUCGCAACUUAUCUUUUCCGACGUGCUUUUCUGACAGACAUAAAUUCCGUCGGAAAAUUCAAAUUUUCCGACGGAAAUUAAGUCCGUCGGAACUAUUCCGUCGGAAAACGGCCUAUUUCUAGUAGUGAUUGUAAAAGUUUUCCAAAUAACGAAAUAGUGCAAGUAUUUAAAAACGGACGGAAAUGAAAAGUGGAGUAUGUAUUUAAAAAUAGAGGGAGUAUAUAUUUGACAAUUCUUUAUAUAGAAUUGGGGAAAUGGGCGGGAAGUUUUUUUUAUAGUGGAGUGAUAUGUGGAGCUUUUGCAUAUAAUAUCCUCUGCUUUAGUAUAUAGAUAUAUAGAUUAAUAUGCUUUUUCAAUUGGAGGCCCUCUUCAUUUCAUGGCCCUAUGCUAUGGGUCUCUUUGCACAUGCCCAUUGCCGACCCGACCUAUCGAUACACCCUCCACUGGUUAUUGAAAGAGUUUUCAAUUCCUUCAUUAUGUCAAUAAUUUGUUGUGAAACAUAUAGAUUCCGCUAGCUAAUUACCUUUUAAAUUUAUUAUUUCCUCUGUUUCAUAUUAGAUGACACAUUUUAUUUAGGUGCAUUUGUUAAUGCAUAAUUUCUAAUGAAAAUAUCUUUGAUUAUAUAUUAGCAAAAAUUAUAUUAAAAAAUAAUAGAUGUUGAAACGAUUCUAAUAAGACCCCACAUGACUAUAAUUUUCUUAAACAUAAAAUCACAAAACAAAGUCAAAGCAAGUUAUGUGAACAUUGCACAAAGUCAAGCUGUGUCAUCUAAUUUGGAACGAAAAAAGUACAAUACUCCCCCGUCCAUUUAUUACGAGCCUGAAUCUUAUUUAGUGACCUAAAAUAUUAGGCCUAUUUCUAUAUUUCAUGAAAAAUUACUUUCAUACCCCCACUUUUUACAAUUUUCUCAAACCAAAAUUCCCUAAGUACCCUUCAAAGUUGAUGCACACGUGUAACUAAAUGCAUUAAAUUGCACAAACCAAUAAUGUGCAUUAAAUGCAUUUUCAUUACUGUCCAAAAUGAUUAAUGUUACCUUUUAAAUUAUUAAUCUCAAUAAUGUACUUCCCACAUAAUUUUACAUUAAUUUUAUCCACUUUCCUUAAUUCCGUUAAAAAUGAGGACAUGUAAUAAAGGCACAAAGGGAGGAUUUGACCUAACAUGGUUCUAUAUAUAUAUAUAUAAGAAGAUGGGAGGAAUGGCAUUUAUUUAGAUGUCCAAAUUAAUAUAAUUUUCAGUUUUAAUCUUUAUUUUUUUGAAAUAGUGUACAACCAUGAUUUACUAUCCAAAUAACAAGGUUGUGAUACUUCUAUUCAUGCUAAUUAUUUUUUCUUUAACUAGCUUUGGGAGUGGAGCAAGAUUCAAAUGCCCUAUAGAACAUUCAAAUGAAAUUCCAAAACCCAAAAAUUAUUAUAUUCAUCGCAGAUUGCCUCCACCUUCAGGACCAUCAAGAAGACACAACGAUGGUGUUUUUACGAAGAAUGAUGAUGCUAAUCAAGUUAAUCAUCGUAACAUCUUAGCUUGAUAAUAAGUCAAUUACUCCAGACUCGUUCAGUAAUAUUGUAGUUUCAGUUUUUUGUUUUUAAAAGUCAUAUUAUAUAUCAUAUAUGACAUACAAUGAAUAAAAAUUUAGUCUACGUAUUGGAAUCAAGAUUACAGUUUUUUAUUUUAUUUUUAUUUUUAUUAUUAUUUUUCUUUUAAAUUUAUAGUUAUUGUUCUUUUAUUUUCUUACCUUCUAUCCUUUUUUGUUGCUUAGAUGGAGUAAAGGUGGGAACAAUUGGAAUUUGGAAAUGAGCAAGUAAGGAGCGGAAACUAAAUGUAGCGACUUAAGUUGGGUGAAAAACACUGAAAAUAUUUAAAUACGCCCAUGUGCAAGAUUCAAUCCAAAGUUAUUUUGUUUCUCAUUUGAUGAUUAAAUGGGCAAUAAGCAUAUUUUAAUCAUCAAAAUGAGCAAAAAAUAAAUAAAUUGGAUGCACCGUACAUCCGGGUGUAUAUAACAACCUUUGAAAAAAUAUUUUCGGCGAAGAUAAUUGGUUUAUGGUAGAAAUUUAAAUCGUUUUUACUCAGGAACUAAUGACAAUAUAUGUGCUUGUGUACAUAUUUUAACUUUUGCUUGUAGUUUACAAUUGCUCAUAUGUAAGUUCUAGCUUUUGUUGAAUUAAAUAUGUACUCCCUUCGUCCCUUUUUAUAGUUUUCAUUUAAAUUUUGACAUUAUUCAUAAUGUGAGAGAAUCUUCUAAAUUACUCUUAUUAUAUAAAACAUAACGUAAUAGUGUUGGGUCUUAUUUUAUUCGUUUCGAUAAAUAAAUUAUUAAUAUUCAAUUGUAUAUUUUUUACUAAUAACUAACAAUAUUUAUUGUCAAACUGUUGCACUGGCAACUUGCAUAGUCCAAAUGAGAACUAUACGAAGAUGAGAGUGAAUAAUGACAUUAACUUAGAUGUUCAAAUUAACAUAAUUUUCAGUUUUAAUCUUUAUUUUUUUUGAAAUAGUGUAAAACCAUGAUUAACUAUUCAAAUAACAAGGUUGUGAUACUUCUAUUCAUGCUAAUUAUUUUUUCUUUACCUAGCUUUGGGAGUGGAGCAAGAUAUAUAUAUAUAUAGUGGCGGACCUGGGCUUGUGCCUGGUGGGUCAAGUGACUCACCAGGGCCCAAAAAAAAUUCUAAGUUUUCUUUUUUUUUUUAAAAAAAAAAAUAAAAAUAAAAAAUAAAAAUUCUAACUUCAGCCUAUUCCCCUUUCACCUUCUCCUCGCCGCAGCUGCAAGUUUGCAACCACAUUUCGCGUUCCCCUUUCAUUCUCCCUCCUCAUUCACUAAAAUUCUAACUUCAGCCUGUUCCCCUUUCACCUUCUCCUCGCCGCAGCUGCAACCACAUUUCGCAUUCCCCUUUCAUUCUCCCUCCUCAUUCACUAAUGACUCAUGGUGGUCGUGAGAGAUAACGACUGUGUGGUUUGAUUUCUAGGAUUUUUUUUGGUGUUCAUGGUAUGAGCUUCUUUAAACUUUCCCCUUUAAAUUUCAAAUUUAAGGUUUCUUUGCAUAAUUACUAGUUCAAAUCUUUGAUUUUUUUUCGAUUUCUAGGGUUUCGAUUUGUAACUGUUGGUGGUGGUGGAGAGCAGCGAUGGGAAGACUCAGCUUAUCAAUCAUUUUCUAAUCAACAAGAGUUGGUAUAUUGUUAAUUUGCCUGGAUAUGGGUGAGUCUCUGUAAUUUUGGUUUUAAUUUGGGCAAUUUCUGUAAUUCUUGAGUCUAUUUCAUGCUGGGAAUAUUGUAUACUUGUAUUGUGAAUCAAUUGUUAUUCGUGUUUAUUCCUGAUCAUAUGCUUGAAUCAUAUUGAAGUGCCAAAAAAGGAUUGCUUUUACGCCUUGAGGCAUUGCUUCAAAAUUAUUGAUCAUCCUGUAAAACAUGUUGCGGACUGAUAUGUAUUUAGGCUACAUCCGUUGUAGUUAAUUUGGUCUCCAAUCGUGUUGUUUAUUUUCAAGUUUAGGAAGUAAAUGUCUCCUUACAUGU